CACCUCUAGCAUUACCAGUAUUAGAGGCACUGCCUGCCCGGUGACACGUACUCAACGGCCGUGGUACCCUGACCGUGCAAAGGUAGCAUAAUCACUUGUUCCUUAAAUGGGGACUCGCAUGAAUGGCAUCACGAGGGUUCAACUGUCUCUUACUUUCAACCAGUGAAAUUGACCUGUCCGUGAAGAGGCAGACAUGAAACAAUAAGACGAGAAGACCCUAUGGAGCUUUAAUUUAUUAAUGCAAUCAAAACUGUACAAAUCCACGGACCCUUACACCACCACACCUGCAUUAAAAAUUUUGGUUGGGGUGACCUCGGAGCAUAACUAAACCUCCAAACAGCCUAUGCUAAGACUACACAAGCCAAAGCAAACCAGCACCUGUAAUUGACCCAAUGACUUGACCAACGGAACAAGUUACCCUAGGGAAAACAGUGCAAUCCUAUUCCUGAGUCCAUAUCGACAAUAGAGCUUACGACCUCGAUGUUGGAUCAGGACAUCCUAAUGGUGCAGCAGCUAUCAAGGGUUCGUUUGUUCAACGAUUAAAGUCCU
rnacentral:rRNA from 1 species